AGAGCGAACGCUGGCGGCAGGCCUAAUACAUGCAAGUCGAACGAACCCUUCGGGGUUAGUGGCGGACGGGUGAGUAACACGUGGGAACGUGCCUUUUGGUUCGGAACAACUCAGGGAAACUUGAGCUAAUACCGAAUGUGCCCUUCGGGGGAAAGAUUUAUCGCCAUUAGAGCGGCCCGCGUCUGAUUAGCUAGUUGGUGGGGUAAAGGCCCACCAAGGCUACGAUCAGUAGCUGGUCUGAGAGGAUGAUCAGCCACACUGGGACUGAGACACGGCCCAGACUCCUACGGGAGGCAGCAGUAGGGAAUCUUGCGCAAUGGGCGAAAGCCUGACGCAGCCAUGCCGCGUGAAUGAUGAAGGUCUUAGGAUUGUAAAAUUCUUUCAGCGGGGACGAUAAUGACGGUACCCGCAGAAGAAGCCCCGGCUAACUUCGUGCCAGCAGCCGC
rnacentral:rRNA from 1 species